CAGCGCUGGUCCUGGGGACCAGGAACCCACAAGGAGCGCGAAUCAUCUUUGCGAUGUAACGGGCUCGGGGACUAGGGACAGGAAAGGACUGCAGGGUGUGGAUGGGCUUAGGAGUCUGCCCCUUUCUAUUGCUCGCUUCUGCCUCCAGCUUUCACCUCCCAAAGAUCCGUGGCCCACGGGAGGGUUUGCAAGGCUGGGGCUACCUUAGAAACUUUAGAAAGCCCGCAGGGGUAAGUCAAAGUGUAAAUAGGGAAAUAGUCACAGCACCCAGGAUCAGGCCAGAGGGAAAACACGUGGGUUCGGUUAUUGCCCCUGAUGGGAUUCCUGACUCUUAUCAUUGGAAGCCCAGUGAUACUCUUGGAGAGGCACAGAAGACCUGAAAUCAGCCUCCCCAUUUCUCUGAUAGCUAUGUCGCUUCCUCUGCAAUUGAGAGCACCUGUCAGGUACAAUCAGAGCUGGAAGAAAGUCUAUGAAGAAAGUAUAAGAAAUGAUAACACCACUGGGCGCCUAUACGUGACUUUGUACGCUUUGCAUCUUUUAUUUUUUUCCCUCUUAAGCCAUUGUUUUCUUCUCUUCAUCAUUUUUAUAAGCAGCAAAGACUCAGCUUUUUUACUAUCUCAAGAUUGACAUGGUGGAAAUUGCGUAGGGAGAGAGAGAAGUAAGAAAAAAAGGAUUCCUCUCCUCUGGUUUCAGAAGAACCUCGGAAUUUACAGGUCCUCCAAGGCAUAAAAUAAAAUUAAGAAAUAGAAAAUGUUUUUCCUCUUAAUAAAGGUCUUUAUGAUAAAAUUUAAA